GAGGAAAAGAAAAUAACAAUGAUUUCCCUAGUAACGGCGAGUGAAGAGGAAAGAGCUCAAAGUUGGAACCUGUUUGGCUUAGCUAAACCGGAUUGUAAACUGUAGAAGUGUUUUCCAGACACGCCUGGUAAAAAAGUCCUUUGGAACAGGGCAUCAUAGAGGGUGAGAAUCCCGUCAUUGGCCAGAGCUGUUGUCUUUUGUGAUACAUUUUCAAAGAGUCAGGUUGUUUGGGAAUGCAGCCUAAAUUGGGUGGUAAAUCUCACCUAAAGCUAAAUAUUUGCGAGAGACCGAUAGCGAACAAGUACCGUGAGGGAAAGAUGAAAAGAACUUUGAAAAGAGAGUUAAACAGUAUGUGAAAUUGUUAAAAGGGAACCGUUUGGAGCCAGACUGGCUUAACUGUAAUCAAUCUAGGCUUUGGCCUGGAUGCACUUGCGGUUUAUGCCGGCCAACGACAGUUUUGUUUGAGGGAAAAAAUUACAUUGAAUGUGGCCCUUCGGGGUGUUAUAGCUUUGUAAAAAAUACCUUGGACUGGACUGAGGAACGCAGUGAAUGCCUUUAGGCAAGAUUGCUGGGUGCUUUCGCUAAUAAAUGCUAGAAUUUCUGCUUCGGGUGGUGCUAGUGUUUAAAGGAGGAACUCGCUUAG
rnacentral:rRNA from 1 species